CAAGACCCAGUCUCGAGGAAAAAAAAAAAAUUAGAAGAGUAAUACCAGCAGUAAGGGAAAUCGAAGCACAUACUAUCUGCUUGUAUUAAUGUAUUCAUCCCCCAGCAGCAGUGUGCAAGAGGACAGUAAGGGUGGAGGUGUGGAUGCUUAACCCAGUCUUUUUGCACCCAUAGCCUCUUCAAGUUCCUUCAAAAUUUUGCCUGGGUGGCUUCAGCUGAAAGCAGAAAUGGCAGGAAGUAAUUGGGGGAGAUUCCCAAAUCUAUGCCCAACUGGGAAUCAAAUUUUUCUCUUGCCAAGAGAUGAGCUGAGGGCGACCACGGAACGGAUCAGCGAGGCCAAGUACACUACCACCAUCUGGUCAUUGGUCUUCAGGUAAAAGGCCUUGACGAACUCCUGCAGGCUGACAUCUGGCAGCAGGUUGAAGACGUCCUGCAGCUGGUAGAUGAUCUGGUGGUUGAUGGGCAGCUUGCCUGUGGCGACUUUUUCCAGGUAGCUCCUGAUAUCCAGAAGCUUGGAGUUCAGUCCCUUCAAACCAUGGACCUGGUUUGUGAUCCGCUGGGACAGAGUGCCCACCGUCGUGUCUUUGAUAUCUCUGUAAUAACCCACAGUUAAAAAGGGCAGGAAAAGGCAUCAGGGUACCAUGUUAUCAGGCAAGUUCUUACAUUCUAAGAAAAUUCCU
ensembl:lncRNA novel transcript, antisense to PSMD7